ACGUAGGGGGCAAGCGUUGCUCGGAAUUACUGGGCGUAAAGGGUGUGUAGGUGGCUGAUUAAGUUAAGGAUGAAAUCCCGAGGCUCAACUUCGGAACUGUCCUUGAUACUGGUCAGCUUGAGGCUACUAAAGGAGAGCGGAAUUCCCGGUGGAGCGUCGAACUGGGUAGUUACCAAGAUGAGACACAAAAAGUUGAGGAGUACACUAGGAUAGUACCGACAUUGAUACACAAUAUUUAGUCUACCAAAAGG
rnacentral:rRNA from 1 species